AUGUCUGACUGUGCUGACCCCUCCCAGUCCCAAGCAUGGCAUUAUAAAAUAAAGCGCAGGCAGAACCGUGGAAAAUACUGUAUUUAUGUACACAGGAAGGGCAACUGCAAGCCCCCUCACAGAGGACACUCCACCUCAAAGAAAAACCUUGGUAGCAAAUUCCUAUCUCCUUCGGUACAAUCAAGUACACCUCAAGCUGGAAGGCUGGGCUCCCUGGGUCUGGGGCGCUCACAGUUCCCUCCCACUGUGGGAUUCCAAAUAAGGCAGGAAAAGGGAACUACCACCAGAACGGAGGUCCUGUGGGAGCUGGAGUGCCUGGUCAUUCCUAGAGAACAGGUCGUGACUCCAGGUCAAACACGAGAUGGGCAGCAAUGCUGGGAUUCUUCUCUGGGUCCUCUGGCCCGCUAUGUGGAAAGCUGGCAGCAGGGUGGGGACCCAGUAGAGAGAACCGGAAGACAGUCACGGGGUUCAGGGGGGUGUGUGCGCAUGCGUGCAGCAGAACACAGGUUGUGCGUUUUUUGGGUUUUCUUUUUUUUGCUUGAUGCCUCCACCUGCCAUUCUCUGCCUGACAGCAGCCUGCUACUUAAAAUAACAGGCUGGUGACAGGUAUGGUGGCUCAAGAGUGACAUGGUUCCGAUUCUGCUAUGACCCUGAAAGAGGUGCCCACGCCGACCUCCCAGACACCAAGGCUUCCGCGGACAGAGGUGGUUCUUGCAGCUCUGAUCCUGCCCCGCUACCCACCUUCUUGACGGGGACCUCACUGUCUCCCCGACACCAACCAAGACUUCACAUUUCCCGGGUUCCUCUCAGGCCUGGGCUGGACCUCAUCUGGCGGUCCGAGCAGCCCAAGGGGUUGGAGGGGUGGUCAAGUGCCCAGCAGGGUAUCCAAAGGACCCAACACUACACACUGGACUUCGGGGCUGAGUUGAGGGGGAUCUCCUUGAGCUCCGACCGCAUGCAUAGGUACUCCCCGAUGACAGCCAUGAGUGCAAUGCACACGGCCUGGACCAGCCACCAGGUCAGCGCCGAGGGGAAACGGGAGCUGUAGAGCCAGCAGCCCAGGAGGUGAAAGAAAUGGACAGUGACCGUGAAAUCCAGACACUGCUUCCCUCGCCGGAUGAAGUACAGCAAGCCCAGGGCACUGUGGGGAGAGGACGGCAGUGAGCUGUCACUGGGUUGUCCUGGCCUUCGAUUAGCAUAUCUGGGGGAGUGUGGGGACACAGGAUGACAGCACAGGGGUCAGAAGCAAGCGAGAGAAGUGGGAGGCAGGGGUUACAUGUCAGAUGCCCAGAGGAGCCCGGCGGGUAGUGCUGAGAGUAAGUCAGGCGGGUAAGGAGGAAAAUGUAUGAGCAUGACGAUCAGGGCAGCUGCCACUCAAGGGGCUCCGAGAGACUGGGGAGGACUGUGGCACCACGAAGCAGACAUGUUCCAUUUAAAGUGGGGCCUAAAGCGAGACAAACCACCAGGCUAGAAGGCUGGCCUGGAAUCGGAUGAUCAUCCCAUUUUCUUAAGAGACGCCUGAAAUCUAGAUUUUUAAUAUAAAAUAUCCUGAUUUUCAAUUAAGUGGGAAAAAAAAAUCUUAAACCCCCUGCAUGGGUUGACAACUGGGUAAGUCAAACAGAACCUAUCUGGGAGCCAAAUCCAGGUUACAGUCACCCCACCAAUGUUCAACCUCCAGUGAAAGGUCAAGAAUAGCAACGUGCAAGGCACUGUUCAAAGUACCUCCUGUGAAUGAACUCGUGAAACCCUUACCAUUAUGAGGUGGGUAAUAUUAUUAGCCUCAUUUUACUGGUGAAGAAACUGGGGCUUAGACAGAUUAACUUGUCCACAGUCACUAGACUAGUGGUAGAGCUGAGAGUCAAAGCCAAGUGAGUCAGCCUCUAGAGCCUAAGCUCUUAAUCACUUCACUUAAACUGCCUCUCAGUCCAAGUCCUCAGCGUACAAGUGAGGACCUGACGCCCAGAGAGAAGGGAAGGAACUUGGCUGAUGGCACAUGGGCCAAGAAUAGAAUCCAGUUCUCCUGACUCCCAGUCCAAUCCUUCCCUCACCUCAUUCCACAUCAGGGAAGUGAUCUGAGAGGGAAGCGGUCCCCGGGCAGCAUGCUCAGAGUGACAUAAGAGCUUUCCAGCCAAGUCAAAACAGUGGUGGAAGAAAUCCUAAGACGGAGCCAGUCCCAGAACUGGUCUCCGCCACCCACGUUAGUCCACCUCUACCCAGGAACAAGUGCCAGCCUGUGUCAGGUCCAAAUCAGAAAGUUAGUUCCAGCGCUAAGACCCCAAAAGCUGGACAGGAAAACUGGUGAUACUCACCAGGUGAGGGCGUUGAGGACGAAGGACAUCGUGGAGAGCCGGCCUGGAGGGGUGGAAAAGCCCAGGAUCUGAGGGGGAAAUCACAAAUGGAAAUACGUUGGAGGAGAAAAUUGGCAGAGCCCCUAGGCUCCAGGACCCCCCUCCAAGG
ensembl:lncRNA